UACGGAGGGGGCUAGCGUUGUUCGGAAUUACUGGGCGUAAAGCGCACGUAGGCGGCUUUGUAAGUUAGAGGUGAAAGCCCGGGGCUCAACCCCGGAAUUGCCUUUAAGACUGCAUCGCUUGAACGUCGGAGAGGUGAGUGGAAUUCCGAGUGUAGAGGUGAAAUUCGUAGAUAUCGGAAGGAACACCAGGUGGCGAAAAGCGGCUUCCGUGGUCCAGC
rnacentral:rRNA from 1 species